CUGUAGGCCUGAAAAAUUUCAAAUCAAAAAGCCACGGUAUGGGAGGAUAGCAUUGUGAGAGCUGCUCAGAAUGCCUGUUCAACACAGGCAGGACCAAGGAAGGACGCCAUGCUGCUGAGCACCAGGGCCUGUGCAUGUGACCCCAGACUGGCCCCUCCCAGCCAGGGCGUGGACCAGAGCAGAGCCCACCAUGGGCUGGACCCUGGCACAUCCUUCUGAGUACUCUACCCCCGUGAUAUUUGAAGUUUCCGAUCUGGCUGGCGUGUGAAUUCCAGUGGUGUUCCCCAUGAUCAUUACCGGGUUCUUAACCCUGGCCUCAGGAGACAACACCUGGUGGUGGGACCCCAGCCUGGGCUCCAUUCCCAAGUUGUGUGGAGCAGAAAACAUGGAGGAGGAGCCAACGGGGUAGGGCGAAUGAGUGCUCACCGACUUCCACGCCUGCUCACCCUUCAUCCACUCUCUACAUGGCCCCAGAGUGGUCCUGUUGAAAUAAACAGGAGCCAAGCAUCACCUCUUCAUCAGGAAGAGGGCACUUCCAGACAAGAGAGGCCGCAUCCCCAACCCGCUGACCUGAA